UGGAGAGAGAGAGUGCAUCUACCUCGGCUACAAAGUCUUUAAAGGGAUUGGAUGUAAAACAGAAGAUUCCAUACAAGAACGAGAAGUCGAGCUUCAGAAGAAUACCUCCUAGCAGAUCAAAUCCCACACAAAAUAAGUCUAAUCAUCCAUAGGAUGAGUGUCCAAAGGAUCGGGUAGAGAAGAUAGAACCUGUCUUUGACAGAUUAGGAUUCGCCGUUUCUUCUAGGAGAGGACCACUUUGUUGCAACUUC